GAGAGAGAGAGAGAGAGAGAGAGAGAGAAAGAGAGACGUGUUCGUGCAUUAACGAAUUCAAGGAAAUUUAUGCGAAUACUUUAUUAAAUGAUCGUCUCAAUCAUUUUUCUUUUGUUACAUUAUCAUGUUAAGAAAUAAUUGAAAUAAAUCAUUUUAUGAAUCAUUUUAUGUUACGUACGUGUGUUUACGUGGAUAACAAUAAAAUGUUUGAUUUAACGAUCACGAAAUUAUCGUCGCGAAUUAUCCAAGGUCGGAGUAUUCUGGUAUCUGUACAAAAAAAAAAAAAAAAAAAAAGAAAAAAAAAAGAAGAGAAAAAAAGGAAAAAGAAAGAAUGAAAGAAGAAAAAAUAAAAAAAGAAAAAAAUGUCGCCGACUUGAACUCGCCAUUUGGCCAACACCGUGAUUUUCUUUCAAACAAGUCUCUGUCUCUCUCUCUCUCUCCCUCCCUCUCUCUCUCUCUCUCUCUCUCCUCGAGGGGAAGCCUUUACUAUCCUCACAUUAACAUGUCUCAGUUUUUUGCCGUUAUUGAGAUUCCAAGAAUAAAGACAGUCUCCCUCCAACAGUUGGUGAAACAGGAUAAUUAGUUCAGACCAUAAAUGUCAAUCUCUCAGUUUAUACGAACUCCCCUACUUUCGUUCUCGUGUACCCGAUCGAACAACGUACACGACUCAACUCGAUUCAUUUCGAUCGAUCAUCGGAAAGGUAUUCUAUCGUUAUCAGGAGCGCUUAAUAACGGCUAUAAAGCAUUACGAAAGCGUGGAAAUAUCCAGACUCGUUGGGAAUAUCUUCGUAGAGAAAGAGAUAGAUAUAUAAUACUACGUAGGUAUGUAUAACCCUCUACGUGUAAGAGUGUACAUGCGAGUUAGAGUGAGUGAGUGAGAGUGAGAGAAAGAGAGAGAGAGAGAGAGAGAGAGAGAGAGAGAGAGAGAGAGAGAUAGAUCGAAAAGCGUCGGUUCAACCCCGUCAAACAUUCGAGAGGCCAACCUGCUUUUUCUCUCGUUCCACGCCAUUGGCUGCGUGCGAAGUGAUUAAAAACAUGGGAAUGGCUGGCUCUCGCAGUCCGACCAACCCUCUUUUCAUUCUCUCUUUCUCUCUCUCUCUCUCUCUCUCUCUCUCUCUCUCUCUCUCUCUCUUUAUUUUUCUCUUUUUCGCUAGCAACUCUCUUUCUUUAUUUCUCAUCUCUGUCUUUCUCUUUUCGUCCACCUAGCAGUAGAUGUACGUGGCUCGCGUUUCCUACAGGACUCUCGAAGCUCUGUUUUCGGCUGGGUCUGGUUGGCCACCGCAAAUGCCCCAGGGAUUUGCUCUGCUCCCAGAGUAUUUUAUCCCUCUGAGGGAUGAUGGGGGGAGGGAAAGAGGGAAUGUGAGAGAGAGAGAGAGAGAGAGAAAUAGAUGGAUAGAGUGAAACAGGGUGGGGUUACCUGCAUAUUCGCAUUUUCCACGAUGCUUCCAGAGGAUUUUCUCCACCCUCGAGUCUCUCAAAAUAAACCACCCUCUCGCGAGAAAGGGGAGGGAAAACACAUUUCUGAGGGGUUCGACCGGUACGACGAUUAGCGCUGUUUCUAAUGGAGGCAGGGGGAGAAAAAAAGAAAAGAAAAAAAAACAAAAAAAAAAAGAACAAAAGAAGAAAAAAUAAGAAGAAGA